CCGAAGCCGAUCCCGGGCGACUGGAACGGCGCGGGCGCGCACACCAACUACAGCACCAAGUCGAUGCGGGAGGCCGGCGGGUACGAGGUGAUCAAGACGGCCAUCGAGAAGCUGGGCAAGCGGCACGCGCAGCACAUCGCCGCCUACGGCGAGGGCAACGAGCGCCGCCUCACGGGCCACCACGAGACCGCCGACAUCAACACCUUCAAGUGGGGCGUGGCGGACCGCGGCGCGUCCGUCCGCGUGGGCCGCGACACCGAGAAGGACGGCAAGGGCUACUUCGAGGACCGCAGGCCGGCCUCCAACAUGGACCCCUACGUCGUCACCUCCAUGAUCGCCGAGACCACGCUCCUCCUCUGAGCCACCCACCCACGGCCAUGCCUACCGCCGCCAGAUCAUGACACCCAGGCUCUCGACUCUCUCGAUCGAGGGUGGCGAUUGAUUAAUUUCUGCAAAACGUUUCGUGUUUCCAUUUCUUUUGCAAGGUCUAGUCUGUUUUUGGGGCGUGCCUUUGGUGUCUUUCACUUUACUCGUUCAGAUAAGAGUAAGAGUCUUCAGUCUACUCUGAAAAUAAUGUUGUUUUCGCAUUCCGAUAAAUGAAAUCAUGGAGCCGGUU
rnacentral:lncRNA from 1 species